GUCGCUACCAGAAACUGGGAAAGCUAUCCUGUGUGGAUGAAGCUGAUGUACAUGGCUCACAGGAUCUGAGCCUGUCCCUUGGGACGGAUGGUGUGGUGGAGGUUGCUCUGGUUGACAGUGGCGCCCCCACGGAGGAGGAGGGAUUACCUGAGGAGAUGAGUAAACUGAUUGAAAGACCUGAUCUGUCUGAACUGCAACAGGGCGAGCUGCGUGCUUUAUUGCUUAAAUGGGAGAAGGUGUUCUCUAAAGAUGACGAAGAUUUUGGGAGGACUGACCUGGUGCAUCAUUGUAUCCCCACAGGUGAUGCAGCUCCCAUUAGAGAGAGGUAUCGUCCUUUGCCCCCUGCAAUGUAUAAAGAAAUGAGGAGCCUCUUGGCAGAUAUGAUGGAAAAGGGAGUUAUCCGGGAAAGCUGUAGCCCGUGGGCUGCACCCAUUGUUUUGGUGAGAAAAAAAGAUGGCACCUGGAGGUUCUGUGUGGAUUACAGAAAAUUGAAUGCGGUGACACAUAAGGAUGCUUUCCCUCUGCCACGAAUAGAAGAGACGUUGACAAGCCUCACCCGAGCGCAGUGGUUUUCCACGCUGGACUUAGCCAGUGGAUACUGGCAGGUCCAAACGGACCCGACAGACAGGGAAAAGACUGCUUUCACUACCCCAGUCGGGUUGUUUGAGUUCGAGCGGAUGCCGUUUGGUCUGUGCAAUGCACCCGCUACGUUCCAACGGCUGAUGCAGCACUGUUUGAGUGGACAGAUUGCAGAGUCUUUGUUGGUGUACUUAGAUGACAUUAUCAUUUAUUCAUCUAGAUGCUGUAAAUGAGACGAAAAGUCAGGUGAAGUGUUUCAGAGGCUGUGGCGCCAUGGGUUGAAGCUACAGCCGAACAAGUGCAAGUUCCUGCAACAGGAGGUGAAAUUUCUGGGUCAUGUAGUGGAUAAGUGUGGUGUAAGACCAGACCCUGAUAAAAUUUCUGCAGUUAUGGAUUGGCCGGUCCCUGAUACCAUCAGACAAGUAAGAUCUUUUCUGGGCCUGGCUGGCUACUACAGACGUUUUGUGUCCGGCUUUGCUAAAAUCGCACGUCCUUUAACUGCAUUACUGACAGGGGUCCCUGUGAACAAGAAAACAGACCGUCGCAAGGUGCAGUGGUCCCCAGAAUGUCAAACGGCCUUUGAGGCCCUCAAAGCAGCUUUAAUGCAAGCACCUGUUUUAGCAUACGCCGAUUACUCUCUUCCAUUUAUUGUGUAUACUGAUGCCAGUGGUCGUGGGCUAGGAGCCGUUCUGGCCCAGGUUCAAGAGGGCCAAGAAAGGGUAAUAGCGUACGCCAGCAGAAGCUUACACCACACGGAACGGAAUGACGCCAACUAUAGUUCUUUCAAGUUGGAGCUGUUAGCCCUAAAGUGGGCAGUCACCGAAAAGUUUAAAGACUAUCUGACUGGUGCACGAUUCAUUGUGUAUACUGAUAAUAACCCUGUGGCCCAUUUACAGACUGCUCGCUUGGGCGCAGCAGAACAACGUUGGGUUGCCCAGCUGGCCUCUUUCGACUAUGAGAUCAAGUAUCGUUCGGGUAAGAGCAAUAUUAAUGCUGAUGCCCUGUCCCGAUUCCCCACUGUCCCAGCAGAGCACCUGGAGGGGGCUGGAUCAGAGCGUGGAGUCACUUCAGCAGCCAUUGAACUGACCUGUGAGGUAGAAGGGAGUGACUGGGCAGAAGCGCAAGCUGGUGAUCCGGAUAUUCAAGUGUUCCACAGGUUAUGCGCCUGCCUAUUUGAUGUUUGGUCGACACCUGAGACUUCCUGUGGACGUGGC
ensembl:lncRNA